GACGUAUGCGGUCGACUAACGCGACUUCCGGGGAACAAACCCGAAAACAUGUUCGGGACGUGUCCGGCGGAACUGGCACAAAUGGCCACCCUAGGCCCUUCACUCCUAAAACCUUUAAAAGCACAAACGUUUCCUGUGAGAGUUUGAAUUUCUCUCAGUGAGUACUGACAUAACCCCUUCACUCAUAAAACCUUUAAAAGGUUAGCACGAAUGCAUCCAGCAUAAUUUGGGAUCUUUACCAUUGAGGAGACUGGCUGACUGUUCUCAACUAACCAUCAAAACUUUAAAGGUACCACAUUUGUUUAUUAGUUUGCUAGUAUAACACAGUUCUGUUUGUGGAUCAUUUAGUCAUAUUUUUGUGUUUUCUCACAGGUAAAUAUGAACGCGUCUAGAGCAAGAAGCAUUCUUCUAGUUAAAGAAGAAUGUCUUAAGUUUAGCUCUAAAUUGAUCGACUGUGUCUGAUACUCGAACAUUAUUUGGUAAAUCAUUCCAGAGCUUAGGGGCUAAGUAGGAAAAGGAUCUACCACCUUUAGACACUUUUGAUAUUCUAGGGAUAAUUAAGUGACCAGAAUUUUGUGAUCGCAGUUUACGUGGUGGAUUGUAUUCUGAUAGUAAUUCUUUCAUAUACGAGGGCGCUAGGCCAUUUAAGGCUUUGUAGGUGAUUAGUAAUAUUUUAAAUUGUAUGCGAUAUUUAACUGGUAGUCAGUGUAAAGAUGCCAGAAUUGGACAAAUGUGGUCAUACUUUUUAGAUCGAGUAAGCACUCUUGCGGCAGCGUUUUGAACCAGCUGUAGCUUGUUUACCUGAUUUGCGUGACAUCCCCGAGUAACGAGUUACAAUAGUCUAUUCUAGAGGUCAUAAAAGCAUGGAUAAGCUUCUCUGCAUCUGUUGCAGACAGCAUAUGGUGUAUUUUUGAGAUAUUUCUAAGAUGGAAGAAUGCUGUGCGGCAGACGUUGGAGAUAUGACUAUUGAAAGAUGGAUUGCUGUCGAACAUUACGCCCAAAUUCUUAACCGUGGAAGAUGGCACCAUCGUGCAGCCAUCUAUGGGCAACUUGUAAUCUGACAUAUUAUGUUUGGAGCGAUUUGGUUCAAUAAUAAGUAUCUCAGUCUUAUUGGAGUUUAGCAUAAGAAAGUUAUGUGCCAUCCAGUCCCUAAUAUCACUAAUACAGUCUGUUAGCUUAGCAAACUGGUGGGUUUCGCUAGGAUGUGACGAGAUGUAAAGCUGGGUAUCAUCCGCAUAGCAGUGAAAACUUAUGUUAUGUUUUCUGUUAAUGUCUCCUACCAUCAUUAACACAACAAAAACUAAAGAAAUGUUACUACAAGUGGACCCAUUUAUUUACUCAUCAUGCUGUGAGUACACCACAGUUUUGUCAGUAAAACAAUAAUAUUUGUGUUUUCUCACUGUUUGGCAUAGACUAAUGUGACCCUGUGUAAUUUGGAAAUUUCAUGGGAAAAGUGUACGUCUUAAUGUUUAAAUGUCAUUUGAAUUAAGGAACAGUACAUUUGAUUUACCAAAAGUGUACAGUACAUUGAGUCAUAAAGGAAUACUUGAUUUAUUUCAUAAGAAAUGUGUAAAUGUGAAUUUGGACCCAAAAGCACACUUUUGUUUUGUUUAAAAAAAUGUUUGUAAAAUAAAUGAUUGUUCAAUAAACUGUAAUAAUUUUA